CCGGAUGUGGUGAAAUUGGUAGACACGUCAGACUUAGGAUCUGAUGCCGCGAGGUGUGGGGGUUCGAGUCCCUUCAUCCGGA
rnacentral:tRNA from 1 species